GUCCUCGGUCAUUCCGUGGACAUGUCGGACAUUCCGUGGACAUGUCGGACAUUCAUGGACAUGUCCUCGGGAUAUGUUCACGGAAUGUCCGAGGACAUGUCCACGGAAUGUCCGACAUGUCCACGGAAUGCCCGAGGACAUGU
rnacentral:pre_miRNA from 1 species